rnacentral:lncRNA from 1 species
AACAGAAACACUCUUGAACUGCAGCAGUUCUUUCGUAAUCACCUCUUGGUUCUUGGACCAGAAUAUGUUUAUCAAAGAUGGGUCUGUAGGAUGCAUUUUAUAAGAUUAAUUCACUUUUGCUCCACCAGGCCCCAGCAAACUACCUCCUGCAAUGAUGGAGGCCAUGAGAAAUAACCACCGACAGCAAGUUUGCUGCAUCUGAGGUGAAAUGAGGUCAGCUUUUGCAGAGAAACUGGGCUGUCACAGCCAACGACCUGACCAUUAUCUUUUUAUUUCACAUUUUUACAUCUCCCAGACUAUAGCUCACAGGCAAGCUGAACCAAUGCAUCAGAACGAGACAGAGCCCUGUUUCUGCCCCUCAUCACCCCAGUGAAUGACAAUUUGAAAGAAAACCAGAAGCCUUGCUAUGGAUUUACAAGUUUCUCAGAGCAAAUCACUGGAUGCCAAAGAAGCUGCCAGGCUACUGCAACUUGCUAGCAGUUAUAAUCAGCGAACAAAGGAGUGAGAGGCAGCACCGAGGGGGAACUUUUUGUGAAAAAUAUUGACCAGCAAAUUACACUGUAGACAGUGCUUUGGCACUUGGCUGUCUAAAGGUGACUCAAACGAUUCGUUUAGCUCAGCGAGCUGGUUUCUAAUUACACCAAAUGCCUGACUGUUGUCAGUGGGCCCAGUAUUUUGUGAGCGGGUGCUCUUCGCAUGUGUCAUUCAUUACCUCACACUGUACCAGGAGCCAUCUCUGCAGGGAGAAUAGUUGGCAAUGCCAUUCGCUUGGAUAAUUUCCUCAGAUAGUGGAUUGCAACAAAACCCUCAAAACAAUCCCAUUCUACCCCUCCAAAAAAAAAUGGAAAAAAAAUAGAAAGAGUGAAAGAGAGAAAGAAAGAGAGAAGGAAGAAGGAAGGAAAGAAAGACAAGAAAGAAAGACAAGACUGAAAAAAAAAAAACAGAGCCCCCAGCCA